rnacentral:lncRNA from 1 species
CCUGCUUCCUCCCCUCCGGCCUGGAUCAUGCUCCAGCUCCUCACUGCUCUGGCGCUCUUGGGAGCGCUGGCCACCCCAGCAGGGACCUCCAAGACGUGUCCAGCCUGCUCUUUGCUGGGAGAUUGUACCGAGAGAACCUGUCCUCCCACCAAGGAAGCCUGCUUGUUUAGCCAGAUGCAGCUGGGUGGGGGGACCAGAGGGGGCCUGGGUGGAGGACCCAUAAAGUGGGUGGGGAAGGGUUUUGUGUGUCGGGGGUGAAGGCAUGAAAAAACCACCCCAGGACUGGACUCAUAACUCAGCAUAGGGCCGCUGGGGUGGUGGGGGGUUAGGGGACAGGCUUCAAUGCCAGCUGGGGGAUUGCUACAGACAGGGCCACGGUUGGGGCCGGGGUGUGGGGGAGUCUCUGAUCUCUCCUCCACAACCUCUGUCCCCAGAAAAUGGGAAUCUCAUCAAGAACGGGUCAUGUGUCGCCCCUGGGGAAUGCCGAGAAGGUGUCUACUCCCUGACCUAUGGCCCCGACUUGAGUCUCUGGGUCAGCAUGGCCUGUUGUGAGGACAACUGCAGCAAGGCCACCCGACAAGAGGCACCACCCAAAGCCCAGCUCAACGGAGUGAAAUGUCACCACUGUUUUGGGGAUAAGUCAGCCUUGUGUGACUCCCGUUCGGUCAUGAACUGCACUGGUGAUCAGACCGUGUGUCUCACCCUCAACGGGACAUGGAAUGGAGGUAAGAGUUUCUGGCCCUCAGGAGCAAUUUGGGUGAUGGGCCUCCCUCUCACCUGCGCAAACGAGUGCCGAGGU